GGGCCCGUGGUCUAGUGGCUAUGACAUCGCCUCGACACGGCGGGAAUCACCGGUUCAAGUCCGGUCGGGCCCA
rnacentral:tRNA from 1 species